rnacentral:misc_RNA from 1 species
GCAAACUUGGUCAUUUAGAGGAAGUACAAGUCGUAACAAGGUUUCCGUAGGUGAACCUGCGGAAGGAUCAUUAACAAAUCGUGUAUAGUGUGUGUGUAUAUUUUAUACGCAUAUACCAUAUAUAUGUGCGCCAGCAUUAGUGCUGGAUGCAAUAUUCAUGUGUAGUUUAUAAUUAUGUGUGUGAUACAGCAAAAAUACUAAACAUACUUUUAACAAUGGAUCUCUUGGCUCUUGCAUCGAUGAAGAACGCAGC